UGUUACCUCUCAAAUAAUGGUUUUCCUGAAGGUUUGACCUGGGUCUGCUGCACAUCAGUUGAAUGGAUUAGACCACUAAGCCAAAAUCAGGGCAGAAGUGUGGUUUGCAUGACAUCCAGUCUCUGAGAUGUUCCUUUGACCCUACAAUUUUUCUCAUUUUUUCAGAUGCAUUUCUGAUAUCUGCAGUCACACAUUACAAAUGCAUUACAGUAUGUUAUGAUUGCUUUGGCUCAAUGUGGAAAACUCAAUUUGCCAAACUGACUGGCAAAAUUCUUACCCUAAGACACUAAUUGCAGUACCUACCCACAAAGUGCACAACUCUAAAUCACACUCAGUUUUCACAAUACAGUCGUCUCGUAUUAGUACAAUGUUCCAGUGCUUAUUGCUAGACAUGCAGAUUGUGAAAUGAAGUCAAGAUGUUUGCAAUUCUGUCUCAUCACUUCCAGCAACAUUGCCCAGGUGAGUCGCAUUGCAGCACGAUUGGUAUUCCUGUGGCAAUGUCUGUUCUGUCUGUUCUGAUAAUGUGAUUAUUUUUCUUCUAUCAGAUAAGGCCUGCUGGUGCAAGUGUGUAAUGUUGCAUUUGUAUGUGUUAUUUUUACUGUUUACGUGUCAAAUGUCUAGAGUGUAAAUGUUUCUGUUUAAAUGAUUGGUUGAAUAACACAUAUCGCCGCUAUUUUCACCGACCAUGUUAAACGUACUCACUCAGCUCCAAAGGCAUGCUGAUGUUAAACCCAUAUUCCAAUCUGUUUGAAAUGACACAAAUUCUGCCUAGUCUGUUCAAACAUCAGACAUUUUUUUAACUCUACAUAUUGUUUAUGCCCUGCACCUGAACAAAUUGGAUGUGCCCAUUCUACUGUACCAUCUCCUUUGUAAGCUAAGAAGUUCCUUUCAGCUGACUACAUCAGAAUCUGUACUACUGGCGUUUUAUGAGAGCUGAAAAUGUACAACAUUGUUAAUCAGAAAUGAUAUCUGGGUGGGUAAAUUGCUGGAUAUGCUGUAGAACAUACUUUGUCAUUGAUUUAUAAAUAUACCAGUAUA